GGUUGAUCCGCGUAGCCGAAGGGAAACCGACAAGUCCGCAGCAGUUUACUGUGAGGGACGAAGUGUGCUCGCUUGGAGUCAAUGGUGGAGGACCUGAAGCCCGACGAUCUAUGCCUGGCCAGAUUGAAGCCCGUUGAAAGAUGGGUGGAGGAUCGAACCGUUGCUGAUCUGCAAAUCGCUCGGACGAGCUGGGUAUAGGGGUGAAAGUCCAAUCGAGUUGGGCAAUAGCAGGUUCCGCGUGAAAGUACUCGUAGGUACACGUUAGUGGAGAUUGAUUACGCUGUAGAGCACUGAUUGUGCGUUUAGGGGGAGCGAUCCCUCGGCGUGCUGCCAAACUCCGAAGGUGUAAUCGUUGUAGAUACUAGCAGUGAGUGAUGGUGGGUAAGCUACCAUUACGUAAGGUGAACAAACCAGCCUGAAGUUAAGGUCCCUAAAUAUCAAUUAAGUGUCACAGACAAACCGUGUCCGUGGUCGAAAACAACCAGAAGGUGGGCUUAGAAGCAGCCAUCCUUGAAAGAGUUCGUAACAGAUCACUGGUCUAGCUUGCGGGCCGGGAAAAGGGACGGGGCUCAAAUUGAUUACCGAUACUUCAGACCAUCGAAAGAUGAUGUGGUAACGCGGCGUAGUGUAUGGACGGAAGGUAGGCUGUGAGGUCUACUGGACCGUAUACUAAUGAGAGUCUUGGGAAGAGUAGCAGCACAGUGUGGUGAGAAUCCGCACCGCCUUAUAAACCAGGGUUCCUCGGCACUGUUUAUCAGCCGAGGGUUAGCCGGUCCUAAGGUCAUUCUUAACCGAAAUGAUCGAAAGGGAAAUGCGUUAAUAUUCGUAUGCCUCCCAUACAAUAUAUGGUGACGGCUUGGGCAAAACUUGUGGAUCAUAUGUCAGGUCCACUUGUACCAAAUCUUUGGAGAACUGUCACAGUGAGAAGAAGAUGAAGUCCCAGGUCCCGUGAAAAGCCGUAUGGGAUGACCGUACCGAGAACUGAAACAGGUGUUUUAGGGUGAGUAGCCUAAGGCGUAUCGGAUACAAGUAUCGCGAGGGAACUCGGCAAAAUAGCUCCGUAACUUCGGGAGAAGGAGUGCCAGAUUGGGAACAAUCUGGUCGCAGUGACUAGGGAGCUCCGACUGUUUAAUAAAAACAUAGGGGACUGCCAGAUCGAAAGGUUGUGUAUAGUCCCUGAAUCCUGCUCAGUGCUGGUAUCUUAAAUCGGGUUUCAACCUGACGAAGGACCAGUAAACAGCGGGGGUAACUAUGACCCUCUUAAGGUAGCGUAAUACCUUGUCGCUUAAUUGGCGACUUGCAUGAAUGGUCCAACGAGGGCUCCACUGUCCCCGCGAUACGUCCGGCGAAAUUGACUUUACUGGCGCACAGUCCAGUACAUUCUACCCGCAAGCGAAGACCCCAUAGAGCUUUACUGCAGCCUGUCGUUGCAUAGUCGCUUUCCAUGUACUGUGUAGGUGGGAGACGUUGAUCUCCGGGACGUCAGUCCUGGAAGUAGUCGAAAAUAGAGACACCACCCUUGGAGAGUAACUAUGCUAACUGUUUAUCAGGACACCGAUUGGUGGGCAGUUUGGGUGGGGCGCCACGCGCUCGAAAACCUAACAAGCGUGCCCAAUGGUCAGCUUAAGUGGUUCAGCACUCCACUGUUAACUGUAAGGGGAAAAGCUGGCUUGACGUGGAUCGGCACAAUAACGAUCGACGAUGCGAAAGCAGGGCCUAACGAACCUACCAGGCUUAUAAUUGAGGCCGGUAGAUAACAGAAAAGUUACCUUGGGGAUAAUUGAGUUGUCACCAGCAAGAGCUCACAUCGACCUGGUGGCUUGCUACUUCGAUGUCGUCUCUUCCUAUCCUGGGUCUGCAGCAGGACCCAAGGGUGGGGUUGUUCGCCCAUUAAAAGGGAUCGUGAGAUGGGUUUAGACCGUCGUGAGACAGGUUUGUUGCUUGGUGGUAGAAUCGCAUAAGGUGUUUGAUGGAAGGGGUCCUUUAGUACGAGAGGAACGAGGGCUCGGGGCCACUAGUUUACCAGUUGUCUGACAAGGCAAUGCUGGGUAGCCACGCCCUGAAGGAUAAGAGCUGAAAGCAUCUAAGCUCGAAGCCACCCCAAAGACGAGACACCUCAGAACACUCGUAAAAGACGAGAUUAAUAGAAUGCGGAUGUAAGUACGAAGCUUCGGCGACGUAUUCAGUCCAGCAUCACUAACGUUCGAGCAUCUUUUUUC
rnacentral:rRNA from 1 species